UUAGAGUUUGAUCUAGACUCAGGACGAACGUCUGGCGGCGUGCCUAAUACAUGCAAGUCGAGCGGACAGAAGGGAGCUUGCUCCCGGAUGUCACCUGCGGACGGGUGAGUAACACGUGGGUAACCUGCCUGUAAGACUGGGAUAACUCCGGGAAACCGGAGCUAAUACCGGAUAGUUCCUUGAACUCGCAUGGUUCAAGGAUGAAAGAUGGUUUCGCCUGUCACUUACAGAUGGACCCGCGUCGCAUUAGCUAGUUGGUGGGGUAAUGGCUCACCAAGGCGACGAUGCGUAGCCGACCUGAGAGGGUGAUCGGCCACACUGGGACUGAGACACGGCCCAGACUCCUACGGGAGGCAGCAGUAGGGAAUCUUCCGCAAUGGACGAAACUCUGACGGAGCAACGCCGCGUGAGUGAUGAAGGUUUUCGGAUCGUAAACCUCUGUUGUUAGGGAAGAACAAGUGCGAGAGUAACUGCUCGCUCCUUGACGGUACCUAACCAGAAAGCCACGGCUAACUACGUGCCAGCAGCCGCGGUAAUACGUAGGUGGCAAGCGUUGUCCGGAAUUAUUGGGCGUAAAGGGCUCGCAGGCGGUUUCUUAAGUCUGAUGUGAAAUCCCCCGGCUCAACCGGGGAAGGGUCAUUUGGAAACUGGGAAACUUGAGUGCAGAAGAGGAUGAGUGGAAUUCCAGCGUGUAGCGGUGAAAUGCGUAGAGGAUUGUGGAGGAAUCACCCAGUGGCGAAGGGCGACUCUCUGGUCUGUAACUGACGCUGAGGAGCGAAAGGCCGUGGGAGC
rnacentral:rRNA from 1 species